UCUCAUAGCUUAACUAUGAAACUGCCAUUGAUACUGCAGGUCUUGAGUAAAUUUGAAGUGGCUGGAAUAAGUAGUGUAGCGGUGAAAUGCAUAGAUAUUACUUAGAACACCAAUUGCGAAGGCAGGUCACUAAGAUUUAACUGACGCUGAUGGACGAAAGCGUGGGUAGCGAACAGGAUUAGAUACCCUGGUAGUCCACGCCGUAAACGAUGCUAACUCGUUUUUGGAUCUUCGGAUUCAGAGACCAAGCGAAAGUGAUAAGUUAGCCACCUGGGGAGUACGUUCGCAAGAAUGAAACUCAAAGGAAUUGACGGGGGCCCGCACAAGCGGUGGAUUAUGUGGUUUAAUUCGAUGAUACGCGAGGAACCUUACCAAGACUUAAAUGGGAAAUGACAGGUUUGGAAACAGACCCUUCUUCGGACAUUUUUCAAGGUGCUGCAUGGUUGUCGUCAGCUCGUGCCGUGAGGUGUUAGGUUAAGUCCUGCAACGAGCGCAACCCCUGUCACUAGUUGCCAUCAUUCAGUUGGGGACUCUAGUGAGACUGCCUACGCAAGUAGAGAGGAAGGUGGGGAUGACGUCAAAUCAUCACGGCCCUUACGUCUUGGACCACACACGUAAUACAAUGGCCGGUACAGAGGGCAGCUACCUAGCGAUAGGAUGCGAAUCUCGAAAGCCGGUCUCAGUUCGGAUUGGAGUCUGCAACUCGACUCUAUGAAGCUGGAAUCGCUAGUAAUCGCGCAUCAGCCAUGGCGCGGUGAAUACGUUCCCGGGCCUUGUACACACCGCCCGUCAAGCCAUGGAAGUUUGGGGUACCUGAAGUCGGUGACCGUAAAAGGAGCUGCCUAGGGUAAAACAAGCAACUAGGGCUAAGUCGUAACAAGGUA
rnacentral:rRNA from 1 species